CUUAGCUUCUCUUAUUUAAUC
rnacentral:misc_RNA from 2 species